rnacentral:rRNA from 1 species
AAUGAACGCUGGCGGCGCGCCUAAUACAUGCAAGUCGAGCGAGAAGACGUAGCAAUACGUUUGUAAAGCGGCGAACGGGUGAGGAAUACAUGGGUAACCUACCCUCGAGUGGGGAAUAACUAGCCGAAAGGUUAGCUAAUACCGCGUACGCUUCUUGGACUUCGGUUCAGGGAGGAAAGCGAUACCGUGGGUAUCGCGCUCUUGGAUGGGCUCAUGUCCUAUCAGCUUGUUGGUGAGGUAACGGCUCACCAAGGCUUUGACGGGUAGCUGGUCUGAGAGGACGAUCAGCCACACUGGCACUGCGACACGGGCCAGACUCCUACGGGAGGCAGCAGUAAGGAAUAUUGCGCAAUGGGCGAAAGCCUGACGCAGCGACGCCGCGUGGGGGAUGAAGGUCUUCGGAUUGUAAACCCCUUUCGGGAGGAGAUGGAACGAGCAAUCGUUCGGACGGUACCUCCAGAAGCAGCCACGGCUAACUUCGUGCCAGCAGCCGCCGUAAG